rnacentral:rRNA from 1 species
UACAGAGGGGGCAAGCGUUAUUCGGAAUUAUUGGGCGUAAAGGGCGCGUAGGCGGCUUUGCAAGUGACGGGUGAAAGCCCUCGGCUUAACCGAGGAACUGCCUGUCAGACUGUGAGGCUUGAGACCGGGAGAGGUGAGUGGAAUUCCCAGUGUAGCGGUGAAAUGCGUAGAUAUUGGGAAGAACACCGGUGGCGAAGGCGGCCUGCUGGGCAGUAGCUGACACUGAGGCGCGACAGCGUGGGGAGCAAACAGG